rnacentral:rRNA from 1 species
CCGAAUGGGGAAACCCAGUGUGACUCGUCACACUAUCAUUAACUGAAUCCAUAGGUUAAUGAGGCGAACCGGGGGAACUGAAACAUCUAAGUACCCCGAGGAAAAGAAAUCAACCGAGAUUCCCCCAGUAGCGGCGAGCGAACGGGGAGGAGCCCAGAGCCUGAAUCAGCAUGUGUGUUAGUGGAAGCGUCUGGAAAGGCGCGCGAUACAGGGUGACAGCCCCGUACACAAAAGCGCAUGUG